CCCCCCCCCCCNCCCUUCGCCUUCCAUCUCCUCCACAACCCCUUUCCAGCCGCACACCAACCAAAAACACCUCCCUGACCAAGAAAACCCUCCAUCGUCGUUGCUUCUCAUCUUCAACGCACACAGCCGCACUGAACCAUCCUCGCCGCCAUCUCCGCCAGACAUCCUCGUCUCUAAAAUCGGCCUUCUCUUCUGCACAAACUCAAAACACACGCACAGAAGCAGAAAAACAGAGUAGGAAACGGGAAACUGAGGUUCGAGGUGCAGGUCAAUCGCCGGUUCGAAUUCGGAUCCGACGAGAUUGUCCGUUCGUUAGUUCCGGUUCGGGUCCGGUUCGACGAGUCGACAGGGAGCAGAUUAAUUCCCUAUUAGUAGUUCUUUAAUCAAAAAUUUUUUUUGAUUAAGAUGGAGUCCGUUUGAGGUGGUUUGAAUCCGUCGCCGUUUGUUGUCCGAGGUUCAAGAUUCACAGCAUAAAUUACUAUUGUUGCUGUUUUUCCAUUCUGGUCCAAGUUCGUGUGUUAGAGCUUUCAAUUUCACUGUAAACGGAAGAGAUAUAGAUAUAUAUUGAAAACAGUUCAAGGUCUGGGAGGAAUCUUUCUGAUGAGGGAGGUGCCGUGUGUCAGAGGGGUCACUCUGAUGCAUGAUGAGGAGAGGAAGAGGCAGGAGAGCCUAUCGGUUGAGCCACCGGAACACAAGAGGAAUAGAGUGGACGAUUCAAAGGUUGACCCAUUGGCUUCGGUAUCUGGGGCGAUGGGAAAUCCUCGUGCUGAAUGUGAGGGAGAAAACAGCUUCUCGGCACCCUUCGAAUAGUGUUUGGGGUUGAUUGAUCCCUAGACCGUGGGAAUAGAUGCUUCCGUACAAGAGUCUGAUGCUGGCACGGUUCAGAUUCGUGGUGAUGAGGCAGUGGAUGGGGUAUCAAGCACUGACCUUGAAUUGACAGGUGGCCGGAGUUCUCCCCGAUCCGGGACACCCUUGACAGGAAGUUUGAGGGACCUCGAGCUGGGACCCAUGAUGAACAGAGGAUGGAGAUUCAUGUUAACCCCGUUGGCCCGUUGGAUAUCGUUGAUUCUCCAAGGGGGAGAUCCUUCCAUCUUCCGGAAUGCAAGAGGAGUCUCGCAAGGAGCCUUUCAUGGCGGGAGCACUAAUCAAAGGCAUAGACACACUCGGGAGGCCGGUGAUAAUUCUUGAGGGUAAUUCCGAGGUUAACGCCUCCUUUAUUUUUGGCGAGAUGGGCAGGCUUUGUGAGUGGUUUUAGGCCGCUGCGCUAUAUAACCAGUCCCUCACCCAGUAUCAGGACGAGGUGAAUCAUCGUGAGCAUAAGAAAUCCUUUUUCACUGAACAAGUUAUCUAUCCCUUGUUUUCGCUAUCAUUUGAGCCAUUGCAAAAUUUCGUCGCUUUUAACUCUUCGUGCCCCGAUCUAUGUAGUUUGAGAAGGAAAAUGCCCUGCUGAGAGGGGAGUUUCGAGCCAGGGAUGCUGAAAUCUUUGAGCUUAGCCAGCAUAUGAGCGAGGUGUCUUCUAAAAGGGACAAACUCAGGGAGAGAGUUGCCUUGAUUGAGCAUCAGCUCCUGGGCGCGAAGAAGGAUAACGGCAAGUAUAAGAGCCUUCAUUUCGAGUUGGUGGCUGCAUUGCUCCGGAUCAAAGUUGAGGCUGAGGUGCUUGUAUCUUCUCAUGGGGGAGGAACAAUUGUCAUAGAUUCCUGUGCUGAGAGGGUGUUCGAGGGGGCUGGCCCAAUUUUACCUCGAACCAUGGAUCACACAUGGACGGGUUCUCUAGGGCUGAUCGUCGAGGGCGUAUUGGAAGGCAGUUCGAGCGGGGUUAAAAAUGGGGGUGGAUCCCCGAAAAGGGGGGACGCCGUCGAGAAGGGGCCAUUGGGGGAUUUGUAAUCACCUAGAUGCAACCUUUGAGGCUGUCGAUUCGGCUAUAGAUUAGGAUAUGCUAUUUUGUUCUAUUGA